CCUACGGGCGGCAGCAGUGAGGAAUAUUGGUCAAUGGACGAGAGUCUGAACCAGCCAAGUAGCGUGAAGGAUGACUGCCCUAUGGGUUGUAAACUUCUUUUAUAAAGGAAUAAAACGAGGCACGUGUGCCUUUUUGCAUGUACUUUAUGAAUAAGGAUCGGCUAACUCCGUGCCAGCAGCCGCGGUAAUACGGAGGAUCCGAGCGUUAUCCGGAUUUAUUGGGUUUAAAGGGAGCGUAGAUGGGUUGUUAAGUCAGUUGUGAAAGUUUGCGGCUCAACCGUAAAAUUGCAAUUGAUACUGGCAGUCGUGAGUACAGUUGAGGUAGGCGGAAUGCGUGGUGUAGCGGUGAAAUGCUUAGAUAUCACGAAGAACCCCGAUUGCGAAGGCAGCUUACUAAACUGUGACUGACAUUGAUGCUCGAAAGUGUGGGUAUCAAACAGGAUUAGAUACCCGAGUAGUC
rnacentral:rRNA from 1 species